CUGAAUAGUACAUAUAUACACCGCCGAGCACCACGAGCACCUUCGCAGUCCCUCUAGGGAAAAUGGCGGUUUAAGCCAACAGUGAGGAAGGUGCCCCGCCGUUAAAUAUGACACCGUGAGCCAACAGACAAUUUCCGUUAUCAACCAUUCGACCUAGAGCGAAGUGAACCCCCUCAGUCUUAUAGCGACAGCCGAGGGAUGCAGAUCUACCUGCUAAACAUACAUAUACCCAUAUUUUAAUUUUUGCGUUCAUUUAAUUUGCUCUAUUUAUCUUCUUAGCUUAUUGAAUAAACUCAUUAGGA